rnacentral:rRNA from 1 species
UGGGGAAUAUUGCACAAUGGACGGAAGUCUGAUGCAGCAACGCCGCGUGCGGGAUGACGGCCUUCGGGUUGUAAACCGCUUUUUCUCAUGACGAAGUUUUUUGACGGUAGUGGGGGAAGAAGCACCGGCUAACUACGUGCCAGCAGCCGCGGUGAUACGUAGGGUGCGAGCGUUGUCCGGAGUUAUUGGGCGUAAAGAGCUUGUAGGCGGUUUGUCGCGUCGAUAGUGCAAACUCAGUGCUUAACGCUGAGCCUGCUGUUGAUACGGGCAGACUAGAGGAAGGUAGGGGAGAAUGGAAUUCCCGGUGGAGCGGUGGAAUGCGCAGAUAUCGGGAGGAACACCGGUGGCGAAGGCGGUUCUCUGGGCCUUUCCUGACGCUGAGAAGCGAAAGCGUGGGGAGCGAACAGG